rnacentral:rRNA from 1 species
UAAAAUACAACCUUAUGCGGUGGAUCACUUGGCUCGCGAGUCGAUGAAGAGCGCAGCAAACUGCGUGAAUUAAUGUGAUUUGCAGGACACAUUGAUCAUCGAUAUCUUGAACGCAUAUUGCGGUUAUGGAUCGCUUCCAUGACCACGCCUGUCUGAGGGUCGGUAUAA